GUGGGGAAUAUUGCACAAUGGAGGAAACUCUGAUGCAGCGACGCCGCGUGAGUGAAGAAGUAUUUCGGUAUGUAAAGCUCUAUCAGCAGGAAAGAAAAUGACGGUACCUGACUAAGAAGCCCCGGCUAACUACGUGCCAGCAGCCGCGGUAAUACGUAGGGGGCAAGCGUUAUCCGGAUUUACUGGGUGUAAAGGGAGCGUAGACGGCUUGGCAAGUCUGAAGUGAAAGCUCGGGGCUCAACCCCGGAACUGCUUUGGAAACUGUCUGGCUAGAGUGCAGGAGAGGUAAGCGGAAUUCCUAGUGUAGCGGUGAAAUGCGUAGAUAUUAGGAGGAACACCAGAGGCGAAGGCGGCUUACUGGACUGUAACUGACGUUGAGGCUCGAAGGCGUGGGGAGCAAACAGG
rnacentral:rRNA from 1 species